UGCAAGUCGCACGCAGGGAGCUUGCUCCCUGAGUGGCGCACGGCUGAGGAUCACGUGGGAACAUGCCUCCUUGUGGGGGACAACACCGCGAAAGCGGUGCUAAUCCCGCAUACGCUCGGCAACGAGGAAAGCGUGUAAACGCGCAGGGAGAGUGGCCCGCGGCCCAUCAGGUCGUUGGUGGGGUAAUGGCCUACCAAGCCGAUGACGGGUAGCUGGUCUGUGAGGACAGACAGCCAGACUGGGACUGAGACACGGCCCAGACUCCUACGGGAGGCAGCAGCAAGGAAUUUUCGUCAAUGGGCGCAAGCCUGAACGAGCAACGCCGCGUGGAGGAUGACGGCCUUCGGGUUGUAAACUCCUUUUUCGGGGGACGAUAAUGACGGUACCCCGGGAAUAAGGCUCGGCUAACUCUGUGCCAGCAGCCGCGGUAAUACAGAGGAGCCAAGCGUUGUCCGGAUUGACUGGGCGUAAAGCGCACGCAGGCGGUUGCGCGCGUGGGGUGUGAAAUCUGGCCGCUUAACGGCCAGGCGCCAUCCCAUACGGCGCGACUGGAGGGCUGCAGAGGUCGAUGGAAUUGCCGGUGUAGUGGUGAAAUGCGUAGAGAUCGGCAGGAACACCCAGGGGGAAACCAGUCGACUGGGCAGCACCUGACGCUGAGGUGCGAGAGCGUGGGGAGCGAACCGGAUUAGAUACCCGGGUAGUCCACGCCGUAAACGAUGGCCACUCGGCCUUUGGGGCCAGAUUCUCUGGCCGUGGGGGCCUUAGCUAACGCGGGAAGUGGCCCGCCUGGGAACUACGAGCGCAAGCUUAAAACUCAAAGGAAUUGACGGGGGCCCGCGCAAGCAGCGGAGCGUGUGGUUUAAUUCGACGCAACGCGCAGAACCUUACCCAGGUUUGACAUGGCCCUGCAAGCCGCUGAAAGGC
rnacentral:rRNA from 1 species